rnacentral:misc_RNA from 1 species
AAGAGUUAAAAACAACUCCUAAACCCAUGUGAAACCUACCUUUGUUGCCUCGGCAGGUCUGCAACUUACCCUGAGGGUACCUACCCUGUAGGUACCUUACCCGGUAGUUGCGGGCAUAACCUGCCGGUGGUCUACUAAACUCUGUUUACUAUGUCAUUCUGAAUAAUAUAACUAAAUAAGUUA